AUUGAACGCUGGCGGCAUGCCUUACACAUGCAAGUCGAACGGCAGCACGGGAGCUUGCUCCUGGUGGCGAGUGGCGAACGGGUGAGUAAUACAUCGGAACGUACCCUGAAGUGGGGGGAUAACGUAGCGAAAGUUACGCUAAUACCGCAUAUUCUGUGAGCAGGAAAGAGGGGGAUCGCAAGACCUCUUGCUUUAGGAGCGGCCGAUGUCGGAUUAGCUAGUUGGUGAGGUAAAGGCUCACCAAGGCGACGAUCCGUAGCGGGUCUGAGAGGAUGAUCCGCCACACUGGGACUGAGACACGGCCCAGACUCCUACGGGAGGCAGCAGUGGGGAAUUUUGGACAAUGGGCGCAAGCCUGAUCCAGCCAUGCCGCGUGAGUGAAGAAGGCCUCGGUUGUAAG
rnacentral:rRNA from 1 species